CAUGAUGUCUGGGGUUUUUUCCUAGGCCAUGAUCCUGUCACCUUAGGUCGAUCGGUACCUCAGCUCAGAAUCAAAAUCUGAAAAUGAUAUUGAUUCUGUUUUUAGUUCCUAAACUUGUCUAGGUCACACCCAACAUGGGUACUCCUGGGCCAUUAGCUCAGGUGGUUAGAGCGCACCCCUGAUAAGGGUGAGGUCCCUGGUUCAAGUCCAGGAUGGCCCAUUCGAUGUUGGGGGUAUAGCUCAGUUGGUAGAGCGCCUGCUUUGCAAGCAGGAUGUCAGCGGUUCGAGUCCGCUUACCUCCACUGAUCGACCUCCUGAUAUCAAAACUAGGAGAUUUUGUUGGACCUUGUUGACUUAGAUUUGUCUAUCUGAAAGAACCUAGCUUCUUAUCAUUCUUAUUUUUUAAACGAAAAUCAGUUGAUAAGACGCUGGGCUCACUACAUUUCUUUGAUAUGUAGCGAAGUUCAGUAGAACCUUGACAACUGCAUAGGUGAGUCUGGAAAGAAAAAAGCAUCUCAUGAUGCAUAAUUUUUCUAUUAGAAUUUUCUGAUAGGGAUUAUGUAUAAAUUCUUGAGUAAGAGUCGAGACUCUAUAUUUCAAUUUUGAAGGUUUCAUCACCUUCGAAAUUCAGUUAUUUAUUGAA
rnacentral:tRNA from 1 species